CUAUAUGAUGUACACUCUUAUAUUCUAUAAAAGACAUUCUUCCUCACAUUCUCACACAAGUGAAUACAUCCUAAUCCUUGCACUCUUUUUUCAAGAAAAAUCCACUAAUUCCUGGAUUCUUAGAAGGAAAAACACACCCAGAAUUUCUGCAAUUUUAGAUAUACAUAGAUCGAAGAAGUUUUUAUCUUCUCAAGUUAAUUUUGAGCUAAAAGUUGAAGUUCAUUCUGGGACUUACUGCUGAUUUCUGUCUACUCAUUGCUGAUUCUUAAGUCUCGUUGAACUUCUCUCUUUCAUUUUAGCCUUUAUUUGGCCAUUCUAAGUUCCCUAACUGCAUUUCAAGGUACAUGUUCUAACUUCAAACCAUGUAAUUGAUAUUAGGAUGUUUUAUUGUUAUACAAUCUAUGUUGUUUGUUAGUUGAUGUGUACGGUGGAUGUUCCUCUAUGUUUGACUGCAAAUUUGAGCUUAGAUUGAAGAAAAAUGGUUUGAUAAAUCUUCAUACAUGCUGGUAACCUAAGUAAUAAAAUAAUUAUCAGUUCUAUAUUUUGAUUUAUGACUGCUGAGAUUUGGUUUGUUGUUGGUGAAUUUCAUACAUGUGAUGUUCUGAAGGUUUCCUAUUAGAUUUGUGGCCUAAGAAGUAAGAUGUCGGAAGUGUUGGAGAUGAGCUUGGAAAUAUGACCAGUGCUUGGCUUGAUUUUAAAGUUUUGUCAAUUAAAAGUGGUCAUCUAUUGUAAUUAUUGAAUUUUAGUUUAGUAUGGUUCUUGAUAUAGAGUUGUAAUAAUUCAGUUCAUUAUCAUUGAAUGUUGUUAUACAGAUUUAGUAGACUGAUAGUUAACGUUAAAAAAAUAUAGAUUAUGGAAUGUUGUUAUAUAGCAGUUUAUCAUGAGUUUAGCAUGUUAAAGUCCCUCUUGCACGAAGUAGCUUCAUUAUUAGUAGUUUAUUAACAGUAGAGAUGUAAAUGUUAAUUUAGGGAUGAUAUUGUAUAAGUAAUUCAAUUGGAGCUGGUGUUUAAACUCGUUUGAAGUACUUUAGUCUGUUGUGAUUUGUUACGGGCAUAGCUGAUCUUUCUUUAAAGUAAUUUGUUGUAUUUCAUUCAAAGUAAAAUUCCUAUUUAUGUUUUAAGAUUUGUAGUAGUAAAUGUUUUCAGUUGGGACGCCCAAUUCCAAUCGUGUCAGGCUCAACUUUCUUGAGCAUGGCAGCCUUUCCUUUGUUAGGCAACCUUUCUUUUGUUUGACUAAGGCUCAAAUUUGGGUUCAAUCCCAGCAACCUGUAACGUUGGCCUCUUUCAAAGAGUUGGGACAUUUGGUCUUUUCUCAUCCAAGAGCCCGCUUGUACCCCCCUUAUAUGUGAAUUAACUCAUCAAAGUCAUAGUGUAUAGCUUCUGUCAUUUUCAUCUAUAGAUUAAUAUAAAUACCAAUCAACAAAAAGAGUAGAUUCAUUUGAAUUAUUUAAAAUGAAGCUGAUGCGACCUUAAGCUACAAUCCAACACUGAAUUAUGAUGGUCAAUUCAUGGACACUCAAUCUCGCACUGCCUAGGAAGCUGAACAAAUUAAUUUUUGAAUAUUUGUAGAAAUGCUUUUAGGUGCGCAUCUAAUAUAUCAUCGUGACUAUAUAUACGUUUGCGUGACAUAAUUAAGAUCUCCACAAAUAAAUCAAAGUAAGCGUUCACGCGACUUUGGCCAAACAAUCUUAAUAAUUAAUAAAGUAUGAUUAACUGUGUAUACGUACAACAACAACAACCACCCAGUAGAAUCCCACUAUUGGGGUCUUGGGGAGGGUAGAAUGUACGUAGACCUUACCCCUACUUCGAAGGGAUAGAUAGGCUAUUUUCGGGAGACCCUCGGCUCAGAGACAAUAGAUCCAUAACCAUAACAGAAACCAGAAAAAUAGUAUCAACAUCGUAAAUACAAAAAUAAAUGGAAAGGUUAAAAUGUGAAAGACAACAACAAUAACAACAA
rnacentral:lncRNA from 1 species